rnacentral:lncRNA from 1 species
CUCUUUCUAACACAUAUUCUCCUUUCUCUUUCUAGGUACUAUAAACACUACCAUUCAGAACCCAUAAUCUAAUGGAGAUCGUCGUCGUAUACUGCUGUUCACCGGUACCAAAACUACUUUAAAAAUUUAUCACAAACUCAUCUCGAUCUCUUCUUUCUUAUACUUUAGCUGAUUUCCUCUAAAACUAUCUAGAUCAUUGUAGAUCUACAUUCGAAAGUCGUAACCUCCAUAUUUGCUCUGCUACUUCGAUGAUCGCUGCUUUAAGGUAUAGUCUUAUACUUGCUCUUGUCUAUCUUUCGUUGAAUUUGGAACGUCGAAGCCUUUAGGAAAACUGUUAAACUGAAACCCCAAAAAACCUCUUUUUUUCUUUCACAUUUUUGUUUCUGACUUUCUUUUUUUGUUUCUGAUUCUCUUUUUUAUAGGAGAUGGUUGUUCGACGAAAGGCUGAUGAUGAAG